GACAUAGGUGGCGAACGUUAUCCGGAAUUAUUGGGCGUAAAGGAUGCGUAGAUGGUAGAAUAAGUUACUGGUCGAUGCCAAACUCAAUUUGGCGGAAGCCGAUAAUACCGUUCUACUCGAGGGCAGGAGAGGUUGUUGGAAUUCUGUGUGGAGCGGUGAAAUGCGUUGAUCUACAGAGGAACACCAAAAAAGGCGAAGGCAAUCAACUAUUCUGUUCCUGACAUUGAGGCAUGAAAGCGUGGGGAGCAAACCGG
rnacentral:rRNA from 1 species